rnacentral:snRNA from 1 species
AGCUUUGCACAGUGGCAAUAUCAUAGCCAAUGAGGUUUAUCCGAGGCGCAAUUAUUGCUAAUUGAAAACCUAAAAGUAAUGUCUCAAUAAUAUAUCUCUAUUUCUGGGUGCCUGGG